CGGGAACCCACAGGCCUGGGGGGGGGCGGGGGGCCGAAAGGGAGAGGACGGCGGCGGGGCCCGGGGCCGGCUGAGGGGCUCCGGGGCCUCUUCCAGUGGAGCGGCGGCCACCUUCGGGACUGCCGGACCCGGAUGGGCCGGGGGACUCGCCCCUCAUGGGCUUGCGGUACAGUGCGGGACUCGGGGAGCCGGCUCCCAAGUUGGAAUCGCUCCUACUUUUAUGCCCGGCACCCAGAAGAGCAAGUCACCCCUUGAAGAGCAAGUCACCCCUUCUUCCCUCUCUCUACUGGCCGUGCCCUGCCCAGCAGCAGCAAGGAAGAGCUCUUCCCCUUAGGCGCUGGGUCCGGGAACAGGAGCAGCCAGAAACUGAUGCAGAAAAUGGACGGAAUAGGAGGAGAGGAACCAAACGAAAGCAUAGGAGGGCCGGUAAAAUCCGCCCCUCUUCACAACUUCCACUCGGUAUUUAAGAAAUAUUUAAGAGUGUUAAAGGACCGCUGGUUGUAAUCUCUGAGAACGUACAGUGAAUUGUGUCUGGAGCGGGGAGGGUCAUCAAGACAGGCCCUCCCAAGUACCGUCUUAUGUAUUUGUUGUUCAACGUUCCAUCUUUCUACCACUCCCCCCCACCCCGCCCCGCUUUGUAUUCUCGUUUUCAGAUGCACACUCAGAACCACCUGUAAUACUUUUGAACAUUUCCCGUUAUUUAAGCACUCGGUGACUCACCUGUCUCCAAACUUAUUCUCGUGUCCGUCUCCGGAGUCCUACCAAUGACCCCUACUGACCUCUCCCAAGCGCUUAGUACAGUGUUCUGCACACGAUAGGCUCAGUAAAUAUUGAUGUGUUUCUAUGA